ACGAUUCUAUUACCUGUGGGAUCUGAUCGAUUGUAUUGUGACGAGUAGCAGAACGAUGCACGCGCGAGGCGUGUUACACUGAGG